UCUCUGUUAGUAUAUCGGUUAGUACACGCGCCUGUCAUAAAAUGCAAAGCCAGAUUCUUGACCGCGCGAAAGCUGGGUUCGACUCCCAGACAGAGAG